AUACCUUUCUCGGCCUUUUGGCUAAGAUCAAGUGUAGUAUCUGUUCUUAUCAGUUUAGGACUUGGCUUCUCUGCUAUAAUUUACUUUGCUAUAAUUUGCUUGGAUUUCAUCAUAGCCGUCAGAUAUAGUUUUAAGGGCCAGCUGAUGCCACAUCAAGAAACAUCAAGAAGUUUUAAGGGCCAGAUGAUGCACUUUUU